UUUCCAGUUCUGUCUCCAAUUCUCGUUACUCGGCCACGGUGAACGAGGAGGAAAUAUCAAGAGUUCAAGAAUUAAUCGUCGAAGAGUUAAUCAAAUUCUGUGAAGUUCGUGGUCGGACGAGUUAAAUAAUAAUAUUAUUUUUAAAAUGGCGAACGCGUGAAUGAACCGAGGCUAAAUUGUUCGACGUGGUUUCCCAGAAGCCCGAUUUCGGGAUAUUAAUCAGAAAAUUAGUAAUUGGACUGAAGAUUGUGACGUUUCGAAAUUUCGGGCCUUGGAUGAAAUUAUGAUCUCUCGAUUGUAACGGAGUUUUGGAGAAGAUUGAACAAGAGUUAACGUUUAUGGAAAAAUUAACUCAG